AGGACGAACGCUGGCGGCGUGCCUAACACAUGCAAGUCGAGCGAGUGAAUCUCCUUCGGGAGUGAAGCUAGCGGCGGACGGGUGAGUAACACGUGGGCAACCUGCCUCAUAGAGGGGAAUAGCCUUCCGAAAGGAAGAUUAAUACCGCAUAAGAUUGUAGCUUCGCAUGAAGUAGCAAUUAAAGGAGCGAUCCGCUAUGAGAUGGGCCCGCGGCGCAUUAGCUAGUUGGUGAGGUAACGGCUCACCAAGGCGACGAUGCGUAGCCGACCUGAGAGGGUGAUCGGCCACAUUGGGACUGAGACACGGCCCAGACUCCUACGGGAGGCAGCAGUGGGGAAUAUUGCACAAUGGGGAAACCCUGAUGCAGCAACGCCGCGUGAGUGAUGACGGCCUUCGGGUUGUAAAGCUCUGUCUUCAGGGACGAUAAUGACGGUACCUGAGGAGGAAGCCACGGCUAACUACGUG
rnacentral:rRNA from 1 species